CAGCAAAUUUGCUGACAUUUGGUAACACAAACUCCAGUUUUCUCCUGAGCUAGCAACUUUUUCUGCAGGGACUUUACUGAGCUGCCACUGGACUUAGCUGCUGGAGAUCUGAAAGUGCACUGGCUUGAGAUAUACAUUUUCUACCAGAAAUCAUGAAGCAUUCCUAAAGACGGCAACUACGAUGAUGCAAAUACGAACGCCACUUCAGUUCCUGUUACGUGUUAUUGAAGCACUGAUGGCUCUCCGUUUACCUCUUCAUUACAAAUCUCGCAGCAACCGACAAACAGCAUGGCUGCAGGAGUGCUUUUAGCUAUUUUGCCCCUAAAAAGUUCCCUGACAUGAUUCUUGAAGGAUGCACCCAGAGAAAUUCACAUUGAAGUCUUUUACAGAGUAUGAGAUAGAAAAUACUACAUGAAAAUUCUAUCCUGGAUCCUGAAUCUUCUCUUUGACUCAGAUUCUUCAAGCUCCUAUUGGAAGCUGUUAGAAAGUCCAAAGUUUUAGGUUCUCUCUUUUGGGACUUCAUGUUAUGCUGAUAAAGAAAUUUUCAUACACACAGAAUAGAGCACAGCUUUUCUUCUGUUGCAGUGUAUCUCAUGCUACCUGUUUUGAGGAGUGGUACACUUGCAGUUGGUAGUGUUAUAUAUUUUUAUCAUGUUAUUGCAUUAUUAAAUCUUUUUCUGAUUAUGCUGGUAAACCCAAGGAAUUAUUGUACAAAUGGCAAAAUAAGUAGUAGGAACAAAAGUGGUAUGAAGCAAUCAUCCUGUUUUCAUUCCAAAGUUCAAAGAACUGAAGCUGUCAAGGAAUGAAAAUAUGGAGAAUAUAUGAUGUAUAAAACUGCUUCUGAGCAGAAUAUUUUUCAGGAAGGUUUAUCUGUUUUUUAAAAUGAUUGAGCAAGGGACAGCUGUAGA